UGACUGAAAUCUGACAACAGAUAG
rnacentral:piRNA from 1 species